CCCAGCCAUCAGAGUCAGCGUGGGCUAUGACACUGGCCAACCAGACUGAAAAGACUGCAUCUCGGACCAUGGAAGGGACACUGAAGAAACACUGUCAUGAUAUUUAUAUCCCACCUACUCAGAGGACCAAUUGAGAAACUCCAUAUGGACUCCAGUUUGCCACUAGCCCACAGAAUUGAAGUUUCUUAGCUGGCUUAAAUUAAGAAUUUUGGAAAUAGCUGGCAUUUUUUCCCACUAAUAAUCAAAGGAUUAAGAAUUCUACUUAUGAUUUCUUUAUAUAAAAUGAAGUUUCCCAAACGUUUCUUGGAGCUAAGAUGUUCCUCAGAGAUCUUCUUUAACUUGAUAAGAUAUGAAAAAUGAAGGUUGCAUAAUUUGGGUGAAUGUCCAGGUUAUAAAACCAAAUGAAACAGAACCAGGACUCCAGACUAUGGCUGUUCACCAAAAUUUCCCCCCYAUCAACAGUCUCUUCUGCAUUUUUUCAUAUGAAUUUUGUUUUAAAAGUCAUCCUUGAAAUAUGAAAGGAUUUUUCAAGUUUCGUAAUUAAAAUGUUGA